CAGGGCAGGACAAUAGAAACGACGUAAUUCUAACAAGAUCGGAGUUUUCCUUUCUCCUCUGUUCCCUACCACCAAGCUCUAGUUGUUCCGUCCGACCUCUUUGGCAAUGAAUAGCUCGCUGCAGCUGUUUCGUCAAAAAAAAAAACAAGAUCGGAGUUGUAGCAAUCAGGUUCCCGUUGGUGCGAAGCCUCUGUUCCAGUAGGAAGCUCACUGUUCUUGUAAAGUUAUUUGAGUCACACGGAAUCCCAUGCCGCCAUAUUAUCCAGGUGUCCAGGGUUGAGAAUCAAAAUGAACUUCCAGCCCGUUACAUUAUGAAAAGAUGGGAGAAAAAUGCAAAUGGGAAAGUGUUUAUGAUGAACAGGGGAAUUUACUAGAAGAGAAAGCAACCGGCCCCUUGGAUGCGGCUAUGAGGAAGAAGAUUUCUGUUGUACGCAACAAGUUCAAAGAUCUACUUCAAACGGCCAAGCACUCAGAUGAGAGCAUGGAUUUUUUUACAACCAGUGUAUUGAACAAUGACAUUGAGGCACCUUUGGACCAAAUGGUUCCUAUAGAAGCUCCAAAGCACACAAGGCAAGAGGAAUAUGAGGCUUUUAUUGGUUGCAACCUUCCUACUGUAGUUGACAUACACCACCAACUGACGUUCGUACGUUGGGCAGAUGCAAAAGAAUAAAGAGAGGAAAGGAAACACAAGCGGAGGAUCAGAAAAAGAAGAAGAAAGAAGCAAAGGCAAAGGUCGCACGUAUGUGCAAGACGUGCCACCAAAUAGUGUUUCAUGAUAGUCGCAAUUGUCCGAGCAAGAAAGGUCAAGGAAAAUGAAUCACGGUUCUGAAUAACAGGCAACAGAAUGGUGUUUCAUCAUGGCCUUCAGUUGCCUAGAAAUCAUGACUUUAUACACCUUACCAGUUAUGAUACAAUUCAUUUUUUUGGACCAUACCAAUUUCUUUGAUGUACUGAUUUUUUCUAA